GCUUGGGGACGCGCGCCUUGCUGCUCAAGCUGGCCGGGGCCCCGCGAGCGUCAUCCUGGGCACCCCCGUCCGGCUGGAGAAGCGCGUUCUGCCCGGAGCCCAGCCUCGCUGCCCGGCUGCUCUCUAGGCCCGUUUGGGACUCGAACUGGACAGUGAUGAGGCGCAGAGCGGGGGACCCGGGGCUGCGCCUAGGGACUUCGCGGGGUGCGGAUGCCUCUCUGCACAGGCUGUGGUGCUGCAGCCGGCCCAGCUUCCCCGCUCAGCUCAGCUCCGCUCCCCAGCCUUCUCCGCGGCAGCCUCUUCAGCCUGCUGGCCGCAAGUGCGCCCUCUAAAGGCCCCAAAUGCCCUGUACACACCAGGUGAAGAGCGCGGAAGCGCCUGCAGAGCAGAAUUAAAGAAAAAUCUUGGAAAAUGUAUACCAGUCAUGAAGAUAUUGGGUAUGAUUUUGAAGAUGGCCCCAAAGACAAAAAGACACUGAAGCCCCACCCAAACAUUGAUGGCGGAUGGGCUUGGAUGAUGGUGCUCUCCUCUUUCUUU
rnacentral:lncRNA from 1 species